UGGAACAAUGGAUCCUAACAAUGCAAGUUGCAAGACAACAUAGAGGAAGAGGACGACAACAACAAAGACAAGUAAAUCUCAGAUGAAAUCGGUGUCACCCUAGUUCAUCAUAUGCUCAUACAUGGGAGGACUAUGAGAGAAGCUGGACAGCUAGCACAACCAAACCUAAGCCAUUACAUGGUUGCAUCCAUUGUCCGUACUUUCUGAAUGGAAAACAGAACUGAGAGGCGGCCAUCUUGGAGGUAGGCGGAGACUUCUCACAGCUGAGCAGGAGACUGCCCUGGUGAAUAUGGUGAUUGCCAGUAAUACCAUCCGUUUGAGGGACAUUCAAACCCAAAUCGUUGAAGACCAGGUAGUCUUCCAAGGAGUUGACAGCAUCAGCAUUUCCACCAUUGACCGGAUCGUUCAGAAGAACCACAUAAGAACAAAGCAGCUGUACCAUGUGCAUUUUGAAAGGAAUUCAAACAGAGUUAAGGAGCAACGAUUCCAUUUGUGCAGAGAAUCUUUUAGCUGGAUGCCAUGGCUGACCCACAGGAGUACAUCUUCAUCGACGAGGCAGGUUCAACCUAACAAAAAAGUGCAAAAGGGGACGCAACCUCAUUGGUCACCGUGCCAUAAUACAAGUUCCUGGCCGGAGGGGAGGCAACGUCACCCUAUGUGCAGCCAUCAGCAAUCGUGGCUUCCUCCACCGCCAUGUCAAAUUGGGUCCAUACAACAUGACACCACUCCUUCAAUCAGCUGCACAAUAACAUUCUUCAACAGGAAGGGGAGCCAGGACAACCAGAGGAAGCCCAAUAUGUUAUUUGUUAUAACAUGAGUUUCCAUCGGGCUGCUCUGGUUCAAUGACCACACCAGGUUCACCGUUCUUUUUUUGCCAGCAUAUUUCUGAAUCUGAUUGAGUAAUUUUUCUCAGCAUGGGGUUGGAGAGUGUGUGACAGCAACCCCUCUGCACAGCAAAACCUCCUGGAGGCAAUGGUGGAUGCCUGUGGUGAUGUGUCUGUGGAGUCUAUCCAGGGUUUUCUAAGGCACACAAGGGCAUUUUUCCCACGCUGCCUGGCAAAAGCAAACAUAAUGUGUGAUGUUGAUGAGCUAUUAUUGCCUGACCCAGACCUGAGAUGAUGAGAACGCUGAUGCUGAUGCUGAGUAACCUGUACAUUUGUUGAAUUUGGAAAUAAAGCUUUUGAAAAUUGGG